rnacentral:rRNA from 1 species
UACAGAGGGGGCAAGCGUUGUUCGGAAUUACUGGGCGUAAAGGGCGCGUAGGCGGCCUUCUAAGUCGAACGUGAAAUCCCCGGGCUCAACCCGGGAACUGCGUCCGAUACUGGAAGGCUUGAAUCCGGGAGAGGGAUGCGGAAUUCCAGGUGUAGCGGUGAAAUGCGUAGAUAUCUGGAGGAACACCGGUGGCGAAGGCGCAUCCUGGACCGGCAUUGGACGCUGAGGCGCGAAAGCCAGGGGAGCAAAC